UACGUAGGGCGCAAGCGUUGUCCGGAAUUAUUGGGCGUAAAGAGCUCGUAGGUGGCUUGUCGCGUCUGCCGUGAAAGCCCAUGGCUUAACUGUGGGCGUGCGGUCGAUACGGGCAUCACUGGAGUUCGGCAGGGGAGACUGGAAUUCCUGGUGUAGCGGUGAAAUGCGCAGAUAUCAGGAGGAACACCGAUUGCGAAGGCAGCUCGCUGGGACGUUACUGACGCUGAGACGCGAAAGCGUGGGGAGCAAACAGG
rnacentral:rRNA from 1 species